rnacentral:rRNA from 1 species
AGCGGAGGAAAGAACCAACCGGGAUUGCCUUAGUAACGGCGAGUGAAGCGGCAAAAGCUCAAAUUUGAAAUCUGGCGUCUUCGACGUCCGAGUUGUAAUUUGAAGAAGGCGACUUUGUAGCUGGUCCUUGUCUAUGUUCCUUGGAACAGGACGUCAUAGAGGGUGAGAAUCCCGUGUGGCGAGGAUCCCAGUUAUUUGUAAAGUGCUUUCGACGAGUCGAGUUGUUUGGGAAUGCAGCUCUAAGUGGGUGGUAAAUUCCAUCUAAAGCUAAAUAUUGGCGAGAGACCGAUAGCGAACAAGUACAGUGAUGGAAAGAUGAAAAGAACUUUGAAAAGAGAGUGAAAAAGUACGUGAAAUUGUUGAAAGGGAAGGGCAUUUGAUCAGACAUGGCGUUUGCUUCGGCUUUCGCUGGGCCAGCAUCAGUUUUAGCGGUUGGAUAAAUCCUCGGGAAUGUGGCUCUGCUUCGGUAGAGUGUUAUAGCCCGUGGGAAUACAGCCAGCUGGGACUGAGGAUUGCGACUUUUGUCAAGGAUGCUGGCGUAAUGGUUAAAUGCCGCCCGUCUUGAAACACGGACCUCCUGUGUGAAGGGAAUCCCGCUA